rnacentral:rRNA from 1 species
CCUACGGGCGGUAGCAGUGAGGAAUAUUGGUCAAUGGACGAGAGUCUGAACCAGCCAAGUAGCGUGAAGGAUGACUGCCCUAUGGGUUGUAAACUUCUUUUAUAUGGGAAUAAAAUGUUCCACGUGUGGGAUUUUGUAUGUACCAUAUGAAUAAGGAUCGGCUAACUCCGUGCCAGCAGCCGCGGUAAUACGGAGGAUCCGAGCGUUAUCCGGAUUUAUUGGGUUUAAAGGGAGCGUAGGUGGAUUGUUAAGUCAGUUGUGAAAGUUUGCGGCUCAACCGUAAAAUUGCAGUUGAAACUGGCAGUCUUGAGUACAGUAGAGGUAGGCGGAAUUCGUGGUGUAGCGGUGAAAUGCUUAGAUAUCACGAAGAACUCCGAUUGCGAAGGCAGUUCACUGGACUGCAACUGACACUGAGGCUCGAAAGUGUGGGUAUCAAACAGGAUUAGAUACCCUAGUAGUC